rnacentral:tRNA from 1 species
GAUCCUGUACGGUGGACUGGAUCGGCCUUUUAAGCCGCGUGUCCUGGGUUCGAAUCCCAGUGGGCCCUCCA